rnacentral:rRNA from 1 species
UACGGAGGGGGCAAGCGUUGUUCGGAAUUACUGGGCGUAAAGGGCUCGUAGGCGGCCAACUAAGUCAGACGUGAAAUCCCCAGGCUCAACCUGGGAACUGCGUCUGAUACUGGAUGGCUUGAAUUCGGGAGAGGGAUGCAGAAUUCCAGGUGUAGCGGUGAAAUGCGUAGAUAUCUGGAGGAAUACCGGUGGCGAAGGCGGCAUCCUGGACCGACAUUGACGCUGAUGAGCGAAAGCUAGGGGAGCAAACGGG